rnacentral:rRNA from 1 species
GACGAACGCUGGCGGCGUGCUUAACACAUGCGAGUCGAACGGAAAGGCCCUGCUUUUGUGGGGUGCUCGAGUGGCGAACGGGUGAGUAACACGUGAGUAACCUGCCCUUGACUUUGGGAUAACUUCAGGAAACUGGGGCUAAUACCGGAUAGGAGCUCCUGCUGCAUGGUGGGGGUUGGAAAGUUUCGGCGGUUGGGGAUGGACUCGCGGCUUAUCAGCUUGUUGGUGGGGUAGUGGCUUACCAAGGCUUUGACGGGUAGCCGGCCUGAGAGGGUGACCGGCCACAUUGGGACUGAGAUACGGCCCAGUCUCCUACGGGAGGCAGCAGUGGGGAAUAUUGCACAAUGGGCGGAAGCCUGAUGCAGCAACGCCGCGUGCGGGAUGACGGCCUUCGGGUUGUAAACCGCUUUCGCCUGUGACGAAGCGUGAGUGACGGUAAUGGGUAAAGAAGCACCGGCUAACUACGUG